UCCAAAAUGUGAUGCUUGGCCCAUUUAUUUACUGAUGUUGUCACCUGAAGGGAAAACUUCCAAGGCUGAGGACGUGUUCAGGUGGCUGGCUGGCAGCUGAUUUGUGUCUCUGUUCUUUCUGUCUGAUGUGUAGUACAGUUUGAAUCUUUCCAUGAAUAUCAUUGGGAAAUUAAGUGUCUGGAGCUGAUCAGCUUGAGCUUAUGAAGAGAUGAACCUUUGUCUAGGGAUUUGAUUGCAUCUUCCUGCAGAGGUGAAGUCGUAAUGGCAGAGUGGUGGAAAAGCUUCUGGACAGGCAGAGGGAUUCCAAGGCCAAGCCUACUACUCACAAGAAAGAUUUCUGGAUAAUGCCAAGUUCCUGGACCAAGGAGCAGCAAGAGAUCUCAUUCCAACAAUGCAAUCAGAUUGCAAAAUGCUGCAUCCUGAACUGCUUUGAGAAAAGUGGC